AUUGAACGCUGGCGGCAGGCCUAACACAUGCAAGUCGAGCGGAGCGGCGGACGGGUGAGUAAUGCCUAGAAAUCUGCCUGGUAGUGGGGGAUAACGUCCGGCAACGGGCGCUAAUACCGCCUACUAUCAGAUCAGCUUAGGUCGGAUUAGCUAGUUGGUGGGGUAAAGGCCUACCAAGGCGACGAUCCGUCACUGGUCUGAGAGGCUGAUCAGUCACACGGGAACUGAGACACGGUCCAGACUACUACGGGAGGCAGCAGUGGGGAAUAGUGGACAAUGGGCGAAAGCCUGAUCCAGCCAUGCCGCGUGUGGGAAGAAGGUCUUCGGAUUGUAAAGCACUUUAAGUUGGGAGGCGUUACCAACAGAAUAAGCACCGGCUAACUUCGUGCCAGCAGCCGCGGUAAUUC
rnacentral:rRNA from 1 species